rnacentral:rRNA from 1 species
GACGAACGCUGGCGGCGUGCUUAACACAUGCAAGUCGAACGGAAAGGCCCGGCUUUUGUGGGGUGCUCGAGUGGCGAACGGGUGAGUAACACGUGAGUAACCUGCCCUUGACUUUGGGAUAACUUCAGGAAACUGGGGCUAAUACCGGAUAUGAGCUCCUGCUGCAUGGUGUGGGUUGGAAAGUUUCGGCGGUUGGGGAUGGACUCGCGGCUUAUCAGCUUGUUGGUGGGGUAGUGGCUUACCAAGGCUUUGACGGGUAGCCGGCCUGAGAGGGUGACCGGCCACAUUGGGACUGAGAUACCGCCCAGACUCCUACGGGAGGCAGCAGUGGGGAAUAUUGCACAAUGGGCGGAAGCCUGAUGCAGCAACGCCGCGUGCGGGAUGACGGCCUUCGGGUUGUAAACCGCUUUCGCCUGUGACGAAGCGUGAGUGACGGUAAUGGGUAAAGAAGCACCGGCUAACUACGUG